AUUGGUUAGAGCGCGCGCUUGAUAAGCGUGAGGUCGGAGGUUCAAGUCCUCCCAGGCCCACCACUUCGCAAUCCGCAAGGAUUGUCGGAUCUCCUCGAUAUCCGUCGGGAAACACUAUCAGGGGCCGUAGCUCAGCUGGGAGAGCGCCUGCUUUGCAAGCAGGAUGUCGUCGGUUCGAUCCCGUCCGGCUCCACCAACCAUCUUCUGUGAAGGUGGGGCGUGUCGAGUAGAGGAUGAUCGCCCGCGGUCAGUCAUUCGAAAAAGAGUUUGCGGCGCGCUUCGUGCUCUCCGCCUGUUCUGUUUGACAUCGUAAAGAGAAGAUUUGUUCGAACUUCACGGCUGCAAGGCUGUGAUUUGUCGCAAGGACGCUCAAUCCCUUGCCUAUGAUGGGUUUGCCUAACCGCGCCCUCGAACGGAUCUCGAGAAGCUGGUCUUUUUGUGCCAAUUCCAUUGAAGCAAGCCCCGCACAGGGUUUUGCUCAGGCGGCGAUCCUUCGGAUCGCGCAGAUGGGUAUUGGCAAUGAGAACGAUCAAGUGUCUUAAGGGCAAUUGGUGGAUGCCUUGGCAUGCACAGGCGAUGAAGGACGUGAUACGCUGCGAUAAGCUACGGGAGGUGCGAA
rnacentral:misc_RNA from 1 species